rnacentral:rRNA from 1 species
UACAGAGGGUGCAAGCGUUGUUCGGAAUUAUUGGGCGUAAAGGGCGCGUAGGCGGUGCAGUAAGUCUUUAGUGAAAAUCUCCGGGCUCAACUCGGAGCCUGCUAAGGAAACUGCUGUGCUUGAGUGUGGGAGAGGUGAGUGGAAUUCCCGGUGUAGAGGUGAAAAUUCGUAGAUAUCGGGAGGAACACCAGUGGCGAAGGCGGCGAUCUGGGCAGAUAUUGACGCUGAGGUGCGAAAGCGUGGGGAGCAAACAGG